rnacentral:rRNA from 1 species
UCGUAACAAGGUUUCCGUAGGUGAACCUGCGGAAGGAUCAUUAACGAAUAACUAUGGUGUCUUGGUUGUCGCUGGCUCCUCGGAGCAUCGUGCACGCCCGCCAUUUUUAUCUAUCCACCUGUGCACCGAAUGUAGGUCUGGAUGACUCUCGCCUUCGGGCGGAUGCGAGGUUUGCGUUUCGCGUGCGAGCGCUCUCCUCGAAUUUCCAGGCUCUACGUCUCUUUACACACCCCAAACGUAUGAUGCAGAAUGUAGUCAAUGGGCCUUUACAAGCCUAUAAAACACUAUACAACUUUCAGCAACGGAUCUCUUGGCUCUCGCAUCGAUGAAGAACGCAGCGAAAUGCGAUAAGUAAUGUGAAUUGCAGAAUUCAGUGAAUCAUCGAAUCUUUGAACGCACCUUGCGCUCCUUGGUAUUCCGAGGAGCAUGCCUGUUUGAGUGUCAUUAAAUUCUCAACCUCACCGGUUUUCUGAACCGUUCUCCGAGGCUUGGAUGUGGGGGUUUGUGCAGGUCGCCUCGGCGCGGUCUGCUCCCCUGAAAUGCAUUAGCGAGAUUCAUUCUGGACCUCCGUCUAUCGGUGUGAUAAUUAUCUACGUCGUUGACUUGGUUCGGACUCGCUUCUAACCGUCCGCGAGGACAACAUACUUGACAAUUGACCUCAAAUC